AUGGCGGCCAUGGCCAUGAACCCCACCUCGCCGGCCCCAUCCGCGAAGCUCCGGACGCCUCCGUACCACCACCCCUCCCCCGCGGCUGAGGAGGAGCCCAUGGCGACGCCGCCGCCGAAGCCGACGGGCCAGAGGUCGCCCAUGCCGUCGCCGCUGCAGCUUUCCGGCGGGUACUCGCUCCACGAGCUGCUCCUGCUGUCCCCGUCCCCGACCUCCCGCCGCACCCGCUCGGGCCAGCGGGGCGCGGCCGGGGCAGGCGGCGUGGAUUCGAGCCUGGAGAUGGCGGGGACGCCUCCCAUGCGGCGGCGCGCGACGCCCGCGGGGGCCUCGCCGAGGAACGCGAGGCGGGCGAGGCGGAGGCUGGAGAAGGAGGCCGAGCCGGAGGAGGAAGCCAUUAGGAAGGCGCGCAGGAGGAGGUCCUCCAGGGUGGCCUCCAAGGUCGCGGCCGCGGUGGCUGUGGACAAGGCGGUGGCGGCGGCGGCCGCCGCCCCAGGGAAGGAGGACGACAUGAGUUUGGCCUUGGUUCCUGCUCCUGCCGAUGCCACUCAUGUCACAGAAACUGACGCUCUGGAGCAGUCCGGAUGGGAAAGUCUCUGGGAAAGGGUCGUCGAGCUAGUGGUGUGGAAGGACGUGGCGAAAUCAGCACUCUGGUUCGGGCUGGGAUCCAUGUUCUUCUUAUCUUUCUCCUUUUCAAGAGAGAUCACUUUCAGCCCAAUUUCUGUAUUUUGUCAGCUGGGCGUUAUCAUUUUGGGUCUAGCCUUCUUUAAGGAUUCUGUGCCACAGAGGCAGCCGGUGAGGGAAACGAACUUCCAGUUGACUGAAAAAGAUGUGAUUCGUGCUGCCGGAGCUGUGUUGCCGAUUGCUAACUCCAUCAUAUCCACGGCACAAGUGAUCUUCUCGGGCAACCCAUCGAUGACUCUCAAAGUAUUGCCUGUUCUUCUGUUCGGCGCAAAAUACGGUAGUCUGAUUACGGUAUGGAGGCUUCUAGCCACAGGUUUCUUCACCAGUUUUACACUCCCAAAGCUUUAUAUCUGCUAUUCAACUCAAAUUCAUGUGAUAGCUGAGAAUUUGAUAGACCGGGCUCUAGAAGCAUGGAAGGCUUGCCCCCGCAAGAAAUUCGUUGCGGGUACAGCAGUGACAGUUUGCUGGAAUUUGUUUAGUGUUAAGACACGCUUCGUGGCAGCCUUCAUUUCAGUAGUGAUACUGCGGUACAAUCAUCAGACCGCAGGGCUGGUGUGA
rnacentral:rRNA from 1 species